UCUUCUCCCACCGUUUUCUGGACUUCGCCGCUGGUUGCUGCACCCUAUGGUUCAAGAAUAUCAGCAGGGCUAUGGCAGUGGCAGCUAUGUCUAAAAGGAAGCACUUGGCUGUAAUCCCUGGAGGCAGAGCCAAGACCCCUUCACUCAACUAUGUAAGCAUCAAAGGUAUCCACAACAGAUGGAAAUACCACAGGGGGCUAAAACAGAAAAACAAGAAGAUGGAGAAUAUCACCUGGUGACUGACGGCACUUCAUGAGUACAUGUGAAAUAUCCACUGUUACCUCUCAAACAAAUUGGAAAGACUGCAAAGAGAUGGAGAUACUGCAGUGGAUGGGGUGAGGAAGAUACUGCGGUGGGUGGAGAAAUAUAGAAAUCUUGAUUCCUAGAUGAGAAAAAAUGCAAAGGUCUCUCUAUCUCAACUUUUACAACUUCAGAUAGAACACAUAUUUUACAUCUUCUCAGAAACUCAGAAAGAAUAUGAUUGGAAAUGAAUGGCUGGAAUCACCAUGUGAUGAAUCAUGUACCAAAUGGCACAUGGAUGGUGACUAAUCCUUGAAGCCAAAGCUGAUAAAUGACUUCCAUUGAACAGUGACUGGAAGAUACAAGACUUUCUGUGAUUCUGUUAUUCUGUCUGUGAUUAGAGAGUUGUGACAACCUCUGCUCAUCAGAGGUUGGAUGAACUGUUCGGUAGUGGUUAAGGUGGGAGGCAAAUUGCUUUUUUGUUUUUGCUUAUUUCCUGUUUAUGCUAUUUAACAAAAUUGAAUCACAUUGGAUAAGACAUUUAAUUAUUCUAAGCUUAAUUUCCUUACCCAGAAAAUGAGGAUAAUAAUACAGUAUCACUUUUAUA